rnacentral:rRNA from 1 species
CACCGCGGUCAUACAAGUGUUAGCCCAAGUGGACAAUUACGGCGUAAAGCGUGGUUAGGGGCCCCCUUAAAACUAAAGAAGAACUUCCUCAAAGCCGUUAUACGCAUCCGACAGCAUGAAACCCCACCACGAAAGUGGCUUUAACCCAACCCGAACCCACGACAGCUAGGAAACAAA